rnacentral:misc_RNA from 1 species
UCUCCGUUGGUGAACCAGCGGAGGGAUCAUUACCGAGUUAUUCUACUCCGAAGCCCCUGUGAACUUAUACCUUUCCUGUUGCUUCGGAGGACUAACGCUUCGGAAGGCCCGCGAGGGCCGCCGGAACCAGGCGCCCGCGGGGGGACCCAAACUCUUGUAUCUUUUUUAUUGCAUGUCUGAGUGGAAUCAUAAAUAAAUGAAUCAAAACUUUCAACAACGGAUCUCUUGGUUCUG